AUACUUACCUGGACGGAGUCAAUGGGCGUUCAAUAAGACCCGUGGCCUAGGCUGUUGAUUUCCAUUGCACUUUGGAAGGGCGCUUGCCUAAGAUCGGUCCAAGUGGUUGAGUCUAUGUCAUAAUUUGUGAUAGUGGGGGUCUACAUUCGCGCGGCCCCUUC